GCAUUAGUACCCAGUCGGCGCUUCCCUCUCUAUUUCAUCCAUGUCACACUGGCCCCUAAAGCUCAGAAGUGUCGCCAUUUUUGUCGUAGAAAAUGCGACACCAUUCACUCGUUGCGUUGUGGGUUUCAUUGAUCAUUGAUCUGAGUGAUGGCGUUUCAGUGACUCAGCGGGAAUCCUCACUCACCGGGACUGAGGGCGAACGCAUUACCUUCACGUGCACCUACACCAGUGAUGCUAAUUACUUAUUUUGGUAUCGCCAAAACCUUGGUGAACAGAUCGAGUUUGUGGCUCGGCGAAACACACGUGGUGACAACGACAUUCAGGCGGAUUUUGCCAAAGGCCGGUUCGCUGAUGUUGUCCAGGAGAGCCAAAUGGAGUAUCGUUUGACAAUUCCGGCGAUGCGGUUGUAUGAUAUGAGAGUGGUGAUUCCGUGGAAUGGGUUGCCGGCGGCGUUGGCCGAGGCGCAAACAAUAACGUCUUUCAAGAGACUCCUGGAUAGAUCCAUGGAGCCGAGAAAAAUACAGGGCUAUGUGUAA